rnacentral:rRNA from 1 species
UACGUAGGGUGCAAGCGUUGUCCGGAAUUAUUGGGCGUAAAGAGCUCGUAGGCGGUUUGUCGCGUCGAAUGUGAAAACCCGGGGCUCAACCCCGGGCCUGCAUUCGAUACGGGCAGACUAGAGUUCGGUAGGGGAGUCUGGAAUUCCCGGUGUAGUGGUGAUAUGCGUAGAUAUCGGGAGGAACACCAGUGGCGAAGGCGGCUCUCGUGGGCCCUACCUGACGCUGAGACGCGAAAGCGUGGGGAGCAAACAGG